UACCAUGUGGUCGGCUGGACCGACUGGAACCUUGCCCUGAACCCCGAAGGAGGACCCAAUUGGGUGCGUAACUUUGUUGACAGUCCCAUCAUUGUAGACAUCACCAAGGACACGUUUUACAAACAGCCCAUGUUCUACCACCUUGGCCACUUCAGGUGAGUGGAGGGCGGGCACCCCCAUUCCAUACCAGGGGCUGGAGGCCCCUAGAAAAAGAUCAGUAAGCCCCAGUGUCCCCCCAGCCCCCAUGCUUAUGUGAACAUGCGCUGUGUGCUGCUUGCUUUGGAAACUGGGCCUGGGUCCAGGCCUAGGGUGAGCUCACUGUCUGUACAAACACAAGAUCAGGGCUGAGGGUAAGGAAAAGAAGAGACUAGGAAAGCUGGGCCCAAAACUGGAGACUGUUUGUCUUUCCUGGAGAUGCAGAACUGGGCCCGUGGAGCAGCAGUGUCAGCAUCAGGGCGGAAGCCUUAAAGCAGCAGCGGGUGUGCCCAGGCACCCAGAUGAUUCCUAUGGCACCAGCCAGGAAAAAUGGCAGCUCUUAAAGGAGAAAAUGUUUGAGCCC
rnacentral:sRNA from 1 species